rnacentral:lncRNA from 1 species
AGCAGCCCCCCUCCCCACUGCCUCCCCAGCUCUCAGUGACCCCGACUGUCUCCUGACUUAGCCGAGUUCAAUCUCAUCCCUCCCAGCAGCUCCCCUUCCACCCCCCGGGGAACUGAAGAUUGUCCUGGCCGCGACCUGAGACCUCCAUGAGUGGAGGGAAGAGUGAUCUAUGUCUCUUCCCCCAGCAGCUGGGACCAGUCCUAGCCCCGCCCCCAACCCCUUUCCCUUGGGGAGUUGGGGAAUUCCUGCCAAGCACCUUGAACGGGAGGGGUCCUUCAAGUGGGCCGGGCUGGGGUCCAGCGGGGGUGGGGGAGGUUCCUGCUCUGUCCCUGCUGGGUCCCACCCAGUCUUGUCCUCCCAUCCUCUCAUCUAUUCCCCACCCCGCUGGAGACGGAAGAUCUUUUAUUUUCUAUUAUUUAUAACCUCAGACUUGGGCCCCCUGUUCUUCUCCAUUAACUUGAGUGUCCUGUGUGAGAGACCGACAGACAGAUGCCUCAAGGACUUUUACUUUUUAUUACAUAAAAAAUUUAAAAAAAAUAAAAAAAUAAAAUUUUAAACU